UCCGAGGUUUUCUCGGCAGUCUCGCCAGAAAAGUACAACUGGCGACAGGGGUUGCGCUCGUUGCGGGACUUAACCCAACACCUCACGGCACGAGCUGACGACGGCCGUGCAACACCUGUGCAUGCUCCCCGAAGGGUCCCUCAGCUUUCACAUCGGUACCACAUGCGUGUCAAACCUGGGUGAGGUUCUUCGCGUAUCAUCGAAUUAAACCACACGCUCCGCUGCUUGUGCGGGCCCCCGUCAAUUCCUCUGAGUUUUAGCCUUGCGGCCGUAGUCCCCAGGCGGAGUACUUAUCGCGUUAGCUUCGGCACAGAGGGGGUCGAUACCCCCUACACCUAGCAUCCACCGUUUAGGGCGUGGACUAC
rnacentral:misc_RNA from 1 species